CCGAUAGGCACCGCAUCGCCUGGACCCUACUCCCGCCCGCCUUCUUCCCGGUGGAAGCACCGAAUCCCCGCAGUGCCUUGUUCCUGGCUGCAGCACCAUAUCCCCGCCCUACCUUCUUCACCGGCGGAACCAACGCAUCUCCACGCCAUCUGCCUCCCAAAUCGUGGCUCGAUCUCAUCGAUCCGUCCUCCCACCACGCGCUACUUCGGAGAUCCCGCCGUGCGCCGCCGCUGAGAGCCUCUGUGCGCCGCCCUGGAGAUCCCAUGUGCGCGCCGCCCCUGAGAGCCUCUGCGCGCCGCCCUGGAGAUCCCAUGUGCGCGCCGCCCCCGAGAGCCUCUGCGCGCCGCCCUGGAGAUCCCAUGUGCGCGCCGCCCCCGAGAGCCUCUGCGCGCCAACCUCCUCUGCAAAUCAGUCGGCCGCUAGCGCCGUCCUCAACCCCUGCAUCCCGUGCGGCCACGCCUCUGAACCUCCCACACCAUGGCUCCGAACCUGAGGCCCGCUCGACACAGGUUAAUAGUGGAUUCUUAAAGUUUAUAUGAUUCUGACACCAAACAAGAUCAUGGUUCUUACCAAAUGCGCCAUUGAAUAUGGAUGAAGACGAUGCCGAAACCACAGAAAAUUGGCAUGUCUAUGUAACUGGACAUAGUUUAGGUGGAGCUCUAGCAACCCUUCUCACUUUCGAACUUUCAUCUAGUCAAGUGUCCAAGGGAGUUCAAUUCGUCCGAAGGCGAAGUUCAGUAUUUUCUGUAGAACAGUUCGAUUCAUAAUAAGCUAGCUAUUUAUUAAUCAGCUAGUUAUUCAUUUACCGGAACAGAAGUUGCACGGAGUCAAGGUGAUUUCAUCCGGGAAGUUCACAGCGCCCCCAUCGGGAGUCCACCAUGCUCAGAGCUCGCGCGCCGCCCCUGCGUACGCCCGAGUCCUACCCCCUUCCUGGAAGUGCAGGUGCGUAUAAACGGGCAGAACACUGUUCAAAUAUCAGAAUCACACGGUGUUAGACAUAUAUUGUGGAAACAUCGAUACAUAGUGAAGUUUAGAUGAUGAACAUCUGAAGUUCACUUGAUGAACAUCUGGUCAUUCACUAACAAAAUUUUUAAACAUCACACUUGCAGUAUUUGGCUAGCACAAUUUUUAAACCAAACUGUUGCAACGUACAAUUUUUAAAAGACAGUAAACGCUAAUUCUGGAUGAUUUUUUUCAAGUAGAGUGGCAGUUGACAUGUCAUGAUUCCUGACAAAAAAGAAAGUUUGAAAUAUCAGGAAACGGAUGAUGCAUUAGCUAAUUUCCUGUAGCAUUUGUUUGGUAGUUUGUUUGGUAUUCACGGGGAUUUCAUUCUAUAUAGUAAAUUCAGUUUUGAUUGAAAAACAGUUUGAUCACCAGUGAACUUCUAUUUAAUAGACAUGGAGAGAAGUGAGUUCACUUGUGAUUUUUUAGCAGUUUGAUUAGUCCCAGGAAGAGUUCACAUUCCUGUAAAAAAAAUAGAGUAAAAAUACUGGCAGACGCUCAUUUAUUUUUGGCAGUUGAUUCGCUUGAUUUUGGCGGUGUAAUUUCUCACCAGUUUUCAUUUCUUUUACACUGGCAAAACGCUGGCCUCCGUCGCUCCUACUAGCUUUGCCCGGGCUUCGGCAGCUGGCUGGCUCCGCCCAUGGUCAGGAGUUCACUUAAAACACGCCAGGAAUUCAGCUUUAUACGUAGAAGUUCAUUUAAAUUUGGUUCUAGCGAGUAGUUGUGCGCUGCUUCGCUCUGCUGCUGACGCCCUUGAGAUGCUCUUAGCUAUCGUGCCCC